UGGGGGAUAUUGCACAAUGGGCGCAAGCCUGAUGCAGCGACGCCGCGUGGGGGAUGAAGGACUUCGGGUUGUAAACUUCUUUUGCUCUGAACAAGGCGCACUUUGGGGUGUGUUGAGUGUAGGGGUUGAUUAGCGCCGGCUAACUACGUGCCAGCAGCCGCGGUAAUACGUAGGGCGCGAGCGUUGUCCGGAAUUAUUGGGCGUAAAGGGCUUGUAGGUGGCUGGUUGCGUCUGUCGUGAAAGCUCAUGGCUUAACUGUGGGUUUGCGGUGGGUACGGGCUGGCUUGAGUGCAGUAGGGGAGGCUGGAAUUCCUGGUGUAGCGGUGGAAUGCGCAGAUAUCAGGAGGAGUACCGGUGGCGAAGGCGGGUCUCUGGGCUGUUACUGACACUGAGGAGCGAAAGCAUGGGGAGCGAACAGG
rnacentral:rRNA from 1 species